GCCGGAUUAGCUUAGUGGUAGAGCGUCACUCUUGUAAAAUGUGAGAAGUGAAGGUCGGGUGUUCAAUCCACCCAUUCGGCU